GAGGAUGCGAGCGUUAUCCGGAUUUAUUGGGUUUAAAGGGUGCGUAGGCGGACGAUCAAGUCAGCGGUCAAAUGUCGGGGCUUAACCCCGGCCUGCCGUUGAAACUGGUUGUCUUGAGUGAGCGAGAGGUAUGCGGAAUGCGUGGUGUAGCGGUGAAAUGCAUAGAUAUCACGCAGAACCCCGAUUGCGAAGGCGGCAUACCGGUGCUCAACUGACGCUGAUGCACGAAAGCGUGGGGAGCAAA
rnacentral:rRNA from 1 species